GAUGAAGAACGUAGCGAAAUGCGAUAAGUAAUGUGAAUUGCAGAAUUCAGUGAAUCAUCGAAUCUUUGAACGCACAUUGCGCCCGUCAGUAUUCUGGCGGGCAUGCCUGUUCGAGCGUCAUUACGCCCCUCAAGUCCCCUGUGGACUUGGUGUUGGGGAUCGGCGAGGCUGGUUUUCCAGCACAGCCGUCCCUUAAAUUAAUUGGCGGUCUCGCCGUGGCCCUCCUCUGCGCAGUAGUAAAACACUCGCAACAGGAGCCCGGCGCGGUCCACUGCCGUAAAACCCCCCAACUUUUUAUAGUUGACCUCGAAUCAGGUAGGACUACCCGCUGUACUUAAGCAUAUCAAUAAGCGGAGGA
rnacentral:misc_RNA from 1 species